AGAGUUGAUCUGGCUCAGGAUGAACGCUAGCUACAGGCUUAACACAUGCAAGUCGAGGGCAGCAUGAAGUUUGCUUGCAAACUUGAUGGCGACCGGCGCACGGGUGAGUAACGCGUAUCCAACCUUCCCCUUACUAGGGAAUAGCCCGGCGAAAGUCGGAUUAAUGCCCUAUGUUCUCCUUUGCGGGCAUCUAACGAGGAGCAAAGAUUCAUCGGUAAGGGAUGGGGAUGCGUCUGAUUAGCCAGUUGGCGGGGUAACGGCCCACCAAGGCGACGAUCAGUAGGGGUUCUGAGAGGAAGGUCCCCCACAUUGGUACUGAGACACGGACCAAACUCCUACGGGAGGCAGCAGUGAGGAAUAUUGGUCAAUGGACGCGAGUCUGAACCAGCCAAGUAGCGUGCAAGGAUGACUGCCCUAUGGGUUGUAAACUGCUUUUAUGCGGGAAUAAAGUCAGGUACGUGUACCUGUUUGUAUGUACCGCAUGAAUAAGGACCGGCUAAUUCCGUGCCAGCCGCCGC
rnacentral:rRNA from 1 species